rnacentral:rRNA from 1 species
GAUGAACGCUGGCGGCGUGCCUAAUACAUGCAAGUCGAGCGAACAGAUAAGGAGCUUGCUCCUUUGAAGUUAGCGGCGGACGGGUGAGUAACACGUGGGUAACCUACCUAUAAGACUGGGAUAACUUCGGGAAACCGGAGCUAAUACCGGAUAACAUUUAGAACCGCAUGGUUCUAAAGUGAAAGAUGGUUUUGCUAUCACUUAUAGAUGGACCCGCGCCGUAUUAGCUAGUUGGUAAGGUAACGGCUUACCAAGGCGACGAUACGUAGCCGACCUGAGAGGGUGAUCGGCCACACUGGAACUGAGACACGGUCCAGACUCCUACGGGAGGCAGCAGUAGGGAAUCUUCCGCAAUGGGCGAAAGCCUGACGGAGCAACGCCGCGUGAGUGAUGAAGGGUUUCGGCUCGUAAAACUCUGUUAUUAGGGAAGAACAAAUGUGUAAGUAACUGUGCACAUCUUGACGGUACCUAAUCAGAAAGCCACGGCUAACUACGUGCCAGCAGCC